rnacentral:rRNA from 1 species
UACGUAGGGGGCAAGCGUUGUCCGGAAUUAUUGGGCGUAAAGAGUGUGUAGGCGGCUUGGUAAGUCCGCUCUGAAAGCCAGGGGCUCAACCCCUGGAGGCGGGUGGAUACUGUCAAGCUUGAGUCCGGAAGAGGCGAGUGGAAUUCCCGGUGUAGCGGUGAAAUGCGCAGAUAUCGGGAGGAACACCAAUGGCGAAGGCAGCUCGCUGGGACGUGACUGACGCUGAGACGCGAAAGCGUGGGGAGCAAACAGG